rnacentral:rRNA from 1 species
UACGUAGGCAGCGAGCGUUGUUCGGAAUUACUGGGCGUAAAGCGAGUGUAGGCGGUUUGGAUAGUCGGAUGUGAAAGCCCCGGGCUCAACCCGGGAAGUGCAUUCGAUACUCCCAAGCUAGAGUAUCGGAGAGGUUGGUGGAAUUCUCGGUGUAGAGGUGAAAUUCGUAGAUAUCGAGAGGAACACCGGUGGCGAAGGCGGCCAACUGGACGAAUACUGACGCUGAGACUCGAAAGCGUGGGGAGCAAACAGG